GUGUCAGCAGCCGCGGUAAUACAGAGGGUGCGAGCGUUAAUCGGAAUUACUGGGCGUAAAGCGCACGUAGUCGGCUUUGCAAGCCGGUUGUGAAAUCCCCGGGCUCAACCUGGGAACUGCAUCCGGGACUGCAUUGCUAGAGUAUGGGAGAGGGAGGCGGAAUUUCUGGUGUAGCAGUGAAAUGCGUAGAUAUCAGAAGGAACAUCAGUGGCGAAGGCGGCCUCCUGGACCAAUACUGACGAUCAGGUGCGAAAGCGUGGGGAGCAAACAGGAUUAGAAACCCGAGUAGUCC
rnacentral:rRNA from 1 species